rnacentral:rRNA from 1 species
UACAGGGGGUGCAAACGUUGCUCGGAAUCAUUGGGCGUAAAGAGCUCGUAGGCGGUUCGUCGCGUCGGCUGUGAAAUCCCGAGGCUCAACCUCGGGUCUGCAGUCGAUACGGGCGGACUGGAGUACUGCAGGGGAGACUGGAAUUCCUGGUGUAGCGGUGAAAUGCGCAGAUAUCAGGAGGAACACCGGUGGCGAAGGCGGGUCUCUGGGCAGUUACUGACGCUGAGGAGCGAAAGCGUGGGGAGCGAACAGG